rnacentral:rRNA from 1 species
GAUGAAUGCUGGCGGCGUGUCUAAGGCAUGCAAGUCGAACGGGUACAUUGCCGUAGCAAUACGGUGAUGUGCUAGUGGCAAACGGGUGCGUAACACAUUGGUAACCUGCCCCGGAGUCGGGCAUAACGUUCCGAAAGGAACGCUAAUUCCACGAUGGAGAUGAGGGGUCUAUGACAUUCUCAUCUAAAGUCGCAAGACGCUCCGGGAGGGGCCUAUGGCCUAUCAGCUAGUUGGUGAGGUAACGGCUCACCAAGGCGAUGACGGGUAGGGGGUGUGAGAGCACGACCCCCCUCACUGGGACUGAGACACUGCCCAGACACCUACGGGUGGCUGCAGUCGAGAAUAUUCCCCAAUGGACGAAAGUCUGAGGGAGCGACGCCGCGUGCAGGACGAAGGCCCUCGGGUCGUAAACUGCUUUUGCCGAGGAAGAACGAUGACGGUACUCGGAGAAUAAGAGGUUGCUAACUCUGUGCCAGCAGCAGCGGUAAUAC